GCUUACGGCCAUACCACCUUAGGCACGCCCGAUCUCGUCUGAUCUCGGAAGCUAAGCAGGGUCGGGCCUGGUUAGUACUUGGAUGGGUGACCUGCCUGGGAAUACCAGGUGCUGUAAGCA
ensembl:rRNA 5S_rRNA 5S ribosomal RNA